rnacentral:SRP_RNA from 9 species
UGCCGUGAAACCAUUCAGGGUCGGUACGAAGCAACGAAAGCUUUGUAGUAGGUGAUGUGGGC